UUUGGUGGCGAUAGCGAAGAGGUCACACCCGUUCCCAUACCGAACACGGAAGUUAAGCUCUUCAGCGCCGAUGGUAG
rnacentral:rRNA from 1 species